UUGUUCUGGAAAGUUCGAAGUUCAUUUUUCCUGCUCUACUUUCUACCUAUAUAAGGAAGAGGACGCUUGGUACACAAAGAACAAGAAUUAAAAACAGUUCAAAGACACUUUCUCCAUAUCUGGAAGAACUGCAAGUGACCAGAAGAUUAAGCAUAUAAAUGUUAUAAAGAAAUCGUGUUAUCCAGUAAAAAAAUGAUGUUUAUUUUGCUUUGAAAAGUUUUAUUGUUGAAAUCUAGAGUCUAAACUCUUUUGCUUGGUUCUCCAGAGAAGUUCUAAUUUUUAAAGAAAACAUAUACCAACCAGUUAGAGGGGUGUUUCCGAGAUUAUUUCAUUUUUCAUUCGGAGUUGUGGAACUGGCGAAAUGAGAACUUUGAGGCUGUCACACUGGAUUUCGAAGAUAGAGAAGGAUGUAGGACGUUUUUAUGAAGGGCUAGCAUUAAGCCGGAUUUUAGGAGGGUAGUUAGGUAAAAACUAAAAUAAUGGGGGCAAAAAAAUAACUUGACGGAUCAGAUAGCUAUUUUUAGAAUAUAGUAGAUUUGUAUUUCUCGUUAUAUAUACAUGUGGAUUCAACCAUUUUGGCCACCAAUUUCAAAAAAACCACAAAAACAUGCAAAAUAGAUUAGACGGAAUAGUUCAACGAUAAUCAGAAUGACUUUUCUAAAUCUACUGUAGGGGCACACUAUGCAUGUUUAGAAUAAACUCAUACACUUCAGUGGAAGGCGCCACUUUAUUUUUUUUAUUAUAAAAUAUGAUUCACCGGCUCUACACACUAUUUCGCCAAUCAUUCGUGGUUACUUGGACUCUUAGUUCAAGACUUGUUGCCGCUUUCGAACCUGAUUUAGAACACAGUGUCCGAAACGUCGCGUUCAAUUAUUUUAAAUUCAAAACAUGAUCUACAAGAAAUGUAUGAUGAUUUGAAAUAGGUAACAUCAUAUGAUUGAUAAUUGUCAUUAAAAACCAGUUGAAAGAUUCUAAUGACAUGUUCCCAUGAACAAUCUGAGAGUUACUUUAAUUGCUUCAAAGAUAAUUGCGUCUGUAGAAAAAAAAAGUUGAAAAACGGAAAUUAAAGUAUUGUAAUUUGUAGAGAUAAAAACUGAUCUAUCGUCAAUGUCAUCAGAACGAACAUUGCCAGUUAUACCAUAUAAGUCAAUAGCAAGAUAUAGAAGAAAUAAAGUUACGGACAUAUUAUAACACAAAAAAGGCGGUAAAAAACUAGAUAUUUUUUUCUGUUAACUGAUUCGAAGGAUAAGGGGAAUUUACACACAAUAUAUACUUAUGGUCACGACCCAAUACGAUCAUGCUUUGAAAUAAAUCAAGACAGGUUUUGCAGAAAAUGAAAUUCAGUUUGUCUCUUUACACUUUAAAAAUGUUUUUGUCUAGUUUCUUAUGGGAAGCAUUCGAUUCAACAACAUCACUCAAAUUAAUAAAUUGAAAAUAGCUGACACAUUCAAAUAACGCGCUGCUUCUCACGUGUCUAAAUAAUGACAAGUGACAGAAACAAAUAAAAAAGAAAUAAA